AUGGAGGGGAGGAAGAAGGAGAGAGUGAUGGCCACCGCCGUCUGCGUGCUCGUCAUCCUGCUGUCGGCCCAGCGGCUGCCGGUCGGGCUUGCCGACCCCACGUCGCCGUUCUGCCAGUGCUACCUGGGCUGCUUUGGGUUUGACCCAGAGUGCAGUGGCGAAGGGUGGCAGAGGUGCCAUGAUUACUGCUGCGCCAUAGCGUGCCGCUUCCCUGGGGACGCCGACUUCGACAGGGUGUGCGAGGGGUCCGGUGGGCAGCAGACUUGCGGCACGGAGGCCCCCGGCUACGAUACUACUUCUACUACUACUGCUGAUGACGCUGUGGUCAAGGCCAACUACUGGAGCGGCGGCCACGGCAAGGCCAAGGCCAAGCACGGCUAG
rnacentral:rRNA from 1 species